GCCCGCUCCAUUUUGAGUAAAAUUCCACGCUUUAAUCAAUAUAGCGUUAUCAGUUCGUUUGGAAAUUUACAACGCCUUCAGCUGCGUUCAUGCCCCAGCCUCCAGUUUCUGCUCCCAGUGUGGGUGUCCUCCUUCCCCAGCUUGGAGACCCUCCACAUCAUCCACUGCGGCGACCUCAGCCACAUCUUCACAAUGGACGAAAAGUACCCCGAAGAAAUAACUACCCGCGGCGUACUAUUCCCGAAGCUGACAACCAUCCACCUGCACGACCUGCCAAAGCUGCACAACAUAUGUGAGGUCAAAAUGGUGGCCCCAAUGCUCGCGAGCCUCAAAAUCAGGGGAUGCUGGAGCCUGCGCCGGCUGCCAUCCGUAGGUGCCCGUGGCCGUGGCAAGAAGAAGCCAGCCGUCGAGAUUGAGAAGGACGUGUGCGACGCUCUGGAGUGGGACGCCGGUCACCGCCCCGACCACUUUGAGGCGCCCAUCCACUCGCGCUACUACAAGGAGAAGUUGCACAGAGUCUCCGUCCUCAGGUGA
rnacentral:rRNA from 1 species